GCGACCCGGGCGCCAGCGGCCCGUGGGCAGGUUGCCUGGGGCGGUCGCCUCCUAAAGUGACACGGAGGCGCCCAAAGGUUCCCUCAGAAUGCUUGGAAAUCAUUCGUAGAGUGCAAAGGCAUAAGGGAGAUUGACUGCGAGACCUACAAGUCGAGCAGGGACGAAAGACGGUAAUAGAGAUCCGGUGGUUCCGCAUGCAAGGGCCAUCGCUCAACGGAUAAAAGCUACCCCCGCGAUAACAG
rnacentral:rRNA from 1 species